AAACUCAUGUCAGGAUUCAUGUAUUACCCGAGCGAAAGCGAGGGUAAUACAAUAAUCCUGACACUCGUUUCGUAAAAUCAGUGCGACACACAAGCAUGUAUAAUAAUCUCUAUAUCUAAGGUAUUUUAGUAUAUAAUAAGUGACAUUCAUGUGUUGUGAGUUUGCUGAAGUCUGUUAACUUCACAGCUAUCAAAAACGGGGUGUUUUUUUUAUCAGGAUAUAGUUUUCUGAGAACUUGAAAUGAUUUACUUGUGCUAGGUGUAAUUUAAUUGUGUUAAAAUUUCAGGAGUGGUAUAUAUUUUAUCAAUGGGUUAAUACAAAUUACAAUUAUUGAUAUGCACAGGGAUACACAGUUUGUCAGACAGCUGGUUUGAGUUGUCUGAAUUAAGUAAAGAAAUUCCAGAAUAUUUCUUACAAGAUAACAUUAAAUAAAUAUCUCUUUUUUUUAACCUUUUGGUCAUUUUGUUUAUGUUACAUUUUUACAAAAAUGAAAAGAUAUAUUAAUUUUUAUAUUUCAAAAUUUUCUUCUUUAAAAAUUCCCAAUUCUUGUACAAAUUUAAUUGGGUUUAUUAAACUUUAAGUAGUCUGUUCAAAAUGAAAUGUUCUGUAUUAAAGUCCUAAUCAAAAUUUAAUUAUUCCCAACCUUUUUUUUUUUUUUUUUUUUUUUUUUUUUUUUUUUUUUUUGAGAGUGGGGAGGGUUAGUUCAUGAAAAUCCCUGUAAUAAAAGCUGAACCUUUAAUUGGUAUUAUAAUUAUCUAUUACUCAGUGUAAACAACAGAUGUUCUCUUCUGGGGUUUUAAAUGUGGAGCUAGUUCAUGUGUUUAUUUUAUACUUUAUUGCACUUCUCAUGUGAUAUUGCUACCACGGCAACAUAAUGUAACAAAAGUUAUUCAGUUAAUAUCAUUUUAAUUGCUGUCUAACAUAAUGUGAUUUUUAUCCCAUUUUGUUCUGUUCCAAAACAAAUGUUUCAAUUUGUUGGUCUUAUACUGUAAAAUAGUAUUUCGUAUCCUAACAAAACAGUAAAAGUCUGUAAAAGAAACUUUAUGGGAAAAUAACAUGCUUAAAAUUACUGCUUAUUUAAUUUUAAUGUUUAUAUUUUCAACCAUGUUUUGGUUUGUCAUAAAAGACAAGUUGUAUUUGUUCAUAUUUGAUUUAUGAGCUAUGAGCUAUAUGCAUGUCUACAUACUUUGGGAAUAACUGUUACGUCUCUAUGUUUUAUCUCCUUUCUUCAAAAGUAAAUAAUACUUAUUUAUAUCUUUUUAAAUAAUACUUAUUUAUAUCUUUAUAUAUUUUUUAAAAUGUCAAAAAGAACAUAUAAUGGUAAGGCCAAGCAAAAUAAAUUUCUGGUCUCUGGUCAGUGCAUGCAUCAGUUUUGACCCUUGCGUGUCAACAUUUAUUUUUAAUUUCCUGUGGUAUGACACCAAUUUUUGCUGGGCUUUUCUUGCUAUGACGUACAUGUAAAACCACAUUUGGAGCCAAAAUGCCAUCACGCAUGAAAUAGGACGUGAAUUCUGAUUUCAAUUUAAAUACGCCCCUUAUUUUGGUAUCAAAUAUACCCACCUUUUAUGUGCAAUCCAUGUUUAAAAAAAAAAAAAAAAAAAAGGAAAAUUAAAAAAAAAAAAAAAAGCUGCAUCACCAUAUCAAUUCUGGAAUUUUGAUCUGACCAGAGACCAACUUUUUUUUUUCUCUCUCUUUUUUUUUUUCCCAAUAGACCUAUUUUGAAAUCGUGUCAACAGCUGAUCACCUUGAUUGUUUGGAGCCUGUGUGGUAAGAAGAUUAAGAUUUAAAAUCAUUAGAGUUUAUGUUCAGGACUCUGUUAAAAUUAGCCAUCUUGAUUGUUCACAGGGUCUCAUAAACUGAAAACCAGUUUUACGAAAGUAUCAUCUGCACCUGAAAUUAUGAAUACUGGAAAUACAAUGUAAUUUCAUUGAAAUAAAGAAAAUUAAGAUAAUGGAUGGUUAUAAUAUACACUGUACAAACUUUGUUUGUAUUCAUGCUUGUGUUUUGGCAAGCAAUGCCCAUCUGUACAUUUUCUCAUUCAUUCCCUCUGUUUUUUUCUUCUUGUGUGUGAUAUAUAAAUAAUAGUGCCUUUUUACAAAACAAAAGAUAUAUCUCAAGUUGUUUUUUGCUUUUUUGCAGUUAUUAAGUCAGUACAACAUACACAGGGAGGUAGAGCCUUCUGUUACUGGAAGGUAGAGCCUUCUGUUACUGGAAGGUAGAGCCUUCUUUUACUGGAAACUAAAACCUUAUACUACUGGAAGGUGGAGCCUUCUAUUAAUGGAAAGUAGAACUUGUUACUGGAAGGUGGAGCCUUUAUUUACUGGAAGGUAGAACCUGUUACUGGACAGUUGAACCUACUUCUACUGGAUGGUAGAAAAUCAUGUUACUUGAAGGUGGAGCUUUCUACUACUGGAAAGUGAGCCCUUUGUUACCGGAACCCUCUACUGAUUGAAGGUGGACCCUUCUGUUGCUGGAAGGUGGAGCCUUCUGUUACUGGAAGGUAGACCCUUCUAUUACUGGAAGGUGGACCCUUCUGAUACUGGAAGGUAGACCCUUCUAUUACUGGAAGGUGGAUCCUUCUGUUACUGGAAGGUGGACCCUUCUACUGGACAAGUUGUUGUUUGGAGCUCAAUGCCAGUUUUAGUUAAACCAUGAUACAAGUUAACAGUCGGUGUUGGUAAAAAAUUUUUUUUAAAAAUUCAAUUCUUGAAUACACAUUUUAAGGUCAAUUUAUUCUUUGAUACAUCAUAAGAAUGUAACUAAAUCUUAAAUUAUUGUAAUCUUUGUGAUUGAUAUUCUCUUUGUCCAGACCAAAGCAGACUCUUCACCCCCCCCCCCCCCCCCCCCCCCCCCCACCCCCCAUCUUGGCAGAUCUAAAUUGCUUCUGCUGUAUGAAUAUGGCUAUAAAUUAUUAAGUUUUUAUGCAUGGUAUGACGUAAUUAGAUAUUAUAAUUAGUGGCAGGAUAAUGCAACAGAUAAUUGUUUAUUUUAUUUGUAAUUCCAUUGACUGAAUUAAAAAAAUUGAUGUGCUUGUGAUUUAAUGUCCAUUAACAUUCACAAGCAGAGAAUUGAUGUGUUUUUUUACAAAAGUGGGAAGGGGUAAUUUUUUUAAACAUUUUUUUUCAAAAUACCCGGUAAUAUCUCACUGAAGGUUUUGUUUUAUGAAUUUCACUGCCAAAAAAAUUAUUACCAUGAGUUUGGUGGCAGAUGAUGAAGUCCAGUUUUAGUGUCAUUGACCUGUAGUGCUUAAUGUUCAUGUUUAGGCUUUGAAAAAAAGGAGGCGAUAACCGAUUCAAAUACUUCACCAGCUGUUUUAUCCUCUCGUUCAAUAUUUUGAUUUUUAGCUGGGUUUCCAUUACCUACAGAUCAGUGACCAAAACAUUCUCAUUUGCAAGCACUUCUUAUGUGAUAGCCUUUCAUGUUUUGAAUGUUAUUAUUUAUGUUAAUGUUUCACCUUUUUAAUGUAACUUUUUAACUUGCUGCAUACAGAUUGGUGUUGACAAAUCUACCAUUACAUCAUCUUGGAGCACCAGAUACUUGUAUGUUUUAAACUUUUAGUUCCAUUUCUUACAGCAUUCUAAUUUGGUACUUUUAUGUUAAAAAAAAAAAGAGAGCCUUUCAAAAGGUAUUUUGGGGCAUUAUUUCUGUUUUCUUUUUCUAAUGAAAUAUUUUUACCUUUGUAAACAGUUGGUUAAAUUAUGCACUUGUGUACAUCAUUCAUAAAUACAAAUGGAAGAUUUGUUAUGGGUUUUGUUUUUAUCAGGUAAGAAAUUCUUGGUACAUGUAUAGUUAUACUACACUUAUUGAGCAGGGUUCCCAGUUAGGCAGCUGUCAGGGUGGGGAGGUUGUUCAUUUUGUGCAAGAUACAGAGAGGGUUUUUCUAAAUUAUUGAAUUGCUGAUAUUAAAAAAAAUUAGAGCAUUGAUUUGCUUACAUUGUGACUUUUUCACUCUGGCGUAUCAUAGCAAAUACUGUGAUAUAGAGUUAACUUGAAUUGGGAUCAAGCAAUAUUAAAAUCAAAUACUGAAAUUAUGUAACAGUGGUACAUAAAAAGUAGAUUUUACAACAAAUAACUUUAUUUUAAAAUAAAUUGACAUUACUAGUAUUCAACAGAAAGUUGUACAUGGUAUAAAUUUUAUAUUUAAACUAUGUAGGCAAAAUAAAUGUUGACACAUUUUUGUAUCUUAAAUGAUAUAGAAGAUGACCAAAGGCAAGAAUAAACAUUGCAAACGACAUUGCUUAUGUGACAUUUGUUAUACCAAGGAGGAAAAAAAACAUGUUGAUGCAAACACGUUUACAAGAAUAUAAAGAUACCAAAUAAAUUUUUCAUAACUAAAUAUUAGUUUUUUUGGUGUGGGGGUUUUCUUUAAUUAUUCAGAAUGUAAGUCUGUUACAAUUAAUCUACUAACCAAUGCAAAUAGUCUUCGCCAAUGAUAACUAAUGCAACCUGGGGCCACAAUGCUUGUGAAAAUUUGUCUUGACAGAACUAAAUCAUAUUGUAUAAGCAUGGGGCCCAAUUUGCAUAUCUUUCUUAAUGGGAAUCCUGCUAAGUAACACUCAAGUAGGCCCUAUACUUGUGCCUUCAGUUCAUCUUGUUAAGAUACCUCAGUUUAUUUAUCAUGCUCAACGACUGUGCAGUUCCAGGUGGUGUUUUUAUAUUGGAUCUGGUCACUUUGAGCUGUUGAUGUUAUCAAUGUUUUUCAAUGAAGUCGUCCAUUACACAAAUUUUUAUUGUCCAUUUUUAAGUCACAAAAUUUUAUGGUUGUUCCUUCAGUUAGGGAGUUAGUGUUUUAGAGUUAUUGUUUGAAAAUGAUAACGUAAUGUUGGUUUCCUUUUCACUUGUGAAUUUCCUUAGUGGAUAGCAAUCUACAGAUUUAUUGUAAUUUAAAGAUGAGAUGUGCUAUAUAAUGUUUUCAAAAAUUUGUUCUGUAUUCAUUCUGUGUCAUUUAAAGAUCUCUUUAAAUCCAUUUUUUGUAAGCAUUUUCUUGUCUGUAUAUAUUCUUUAAAUCAUUUCCUUUGACUUAUAGAUAAUAAUUCAGGUAUUCUAAUACUGUGGGUUCAUUUUUAUUCCAAUUUUGAUGUGUAAAAUACGACAUAAACUUGAGAAUAAAAAAAAAACAGUAGCAUAAAUUUGCCAAAAGAUGCUAUCAGUUCAAUAGUAGAUAACACCGUGAAUACUGAUGCCCAUAAAUUAACUUCUUUAUAAUGGUAGUUUUUUAUUUUGUCAAACCAUGAUGGUCCAAAGAAUGCACAAAGUAUAAUUUGAUGUAAUUCACUGAGAUGAAGAGUUUAAUUAGCAAACUGUUAUACAUUCAUCUUCAGGAUUACCCAUAUUUUACCAUAGGAAGAUCGAGUAAUGGACAUGGCAAUUUGUUCUUCAAUAAAAUGUUCAAAUAAUUCUUCUUUUAGGGGUUUUUUUAUCGCUCUUCACAACUUUACAACAAAUCAAUUUGUGUAUGUUGACAGCAAGGGACAAACUAUAAGUUAAAUAAUUUCACAAAGUUGAAUGUUGGCCAUGAUUAAAAUAGUUUUACUUCUGUAUGUCCAUGAAGAAACAAUGGUGUCCACAUAGCUGUCCACAUAGCACCAAGCCAUCAACUUGAAUUUAUAUUUCUAUAUACGUACUUGUAUUAUGAACAUUAUUUUGUGCAGUCACAUUUCUGAUAUUUUUUUUUCUAAAUGUAUCAAUAAAUGUGGUCAGUUUA